GAUGAAGAACGCAGCGAAAUGCGAUAAGUAGUGUGAAUUGCAGAAUUCAGUGAAUCAUCGAAUCUUUGAACGCACAUUGCGCCCCUCGGUAUUCCGUGGGGCAUGCCUGUUCGAGCGUCAUUUAACCCCUCAAGCCUAGCUUGGUAUUGGGUGCUUGUCCCGCCUCUCGCGCGGCGACUCACCUCAAAGUCAUUGGCAGCCCGCAUCUCGCCGGCCGUGAGCACAGCACAGACGCGCUCUUGGCAACGACGGAUCGGCUCUCCAAAAGCUUAUUUCAACCACUGACCUCGGAUCAGGUAGGGAUACCCGCUGAACUUAAGCAUAUCAAUAAGCGGAGGA
rnacentral:misc_RNA from 1 species